GACGAACGCUGGCGGCGUGCCUAAUACAUGCAAGUCGAACGAACACCUUCGGGUGUUAGUGGCGAACGGGUGAGUAACACGUAAGUAACCAACCUAUGAGACGAGGAUAACUACUGGAAACGGUAGCUAAGACUGGAUAGGAUAUAUGAUCAAUGAUUAUAUAUUUAAAGAUGCUUUCGGGCAUCACUGAUAGAUGGGCUUGCGGCGCAUUAGCUAGUUGGUGGGGUAAAAGCCUACCAAGGCGACGAUGCGUAGCCGACCUGAGAGGGUGAUCGGCCACACUGGGACUGAGACACGGCCCAGACUCCUACGGGAGGCAGCAGUAGGGAAUCUUCGGCAAUGGACGAAAGUCUGACCGAGCAACGCCGCGUGAGUGAAGAAGGUCUUCGGAUUGUAAAGCUCUGUUAUUAGGGAAGAAAGAGAUUAACAGGAAAUGGUUAAUCAGUGACGGUACCUAAUGAGAAAGCCACGGCUAACUACGUGCCAGCCGCCGCAGUAAAAC
rnacentral:rRNA from 1 species